rnacentral:rRNA from 1 species
GACGAACGCUGGCGGCGUGCUUAACACAUGCAAGUCGAACGGUGAAGGGACCGGUUUUUGCUGGUUCUGGAUGAGUGGCGAACGGGUGAGUAACACGUGAGUAACCUGCCCCCUUCUUCUGGAUAACCGCAUGAAAGUGUGGCUAAUACGGGAUAUUCUGCUCCUGCUGCAUGGUGGGUGUGGGAAAGAUAUUGUUUCGGUGGGGGAUGGGCUCGCGGCCUAUCAGCUUGUUGGUGGGGUGAUGGCCUACCAAGGCGGUGACGGGUAGCCGGCCUGAGAGGGUGGACGGUCACACUGGGACUGAGACACGGCCCAGACUCCUACGGGAGGCAGCAGUGGGGAAUAUUGCACAAUGGGCGCAAGCAUGAUGCAGCGACGCCGCGUGAGGGAUGGAGGCCUUCGGGUUGUAAACCUCUUUCGCCAGUGAAGCAGGCCUGUCCCUUUUGUGGGUGGGUUGACGGUAGCUGGAUAAGAAGCGCCGGCUAACUACGUG